rnacentral:rRNA from 1 species
GAACAUGAGAGUUUGAUCCUGGCUCAGAACGAACGCUGGCGGCAUGCCUAACACAUGCAAGUCGAACGUGAAGUUUUCCUUCGGGGAAAUGGAAAGUGGCGCACGGGUGAGUAACGCGUAGAUAACCUGCCCUCAAAUCUGGGAUAACUCUCCGAAAGGAAAGCUAAUACCGGAUAAAACCAGAG